rnacentral:rRNA from 1 species
UACGGAGGGUGCAAGCGUUAUCCGGAAUGAUUGGGCGUAAAGCGUCCGCAGGUGGCAAUGUAAGUCUGCUGUUAAAGAGUCUAGCUCAACUAGAUAAAAGCAGUGGAAACUACAUAGCUAGAGUACGUUCGGGGCAGAGGGAAUUCCUGGUGUAGCGGUGAAAUGCGUAGAGAUCAGGAAGAACACCGGUGGCGAAGGCGCUCUGCUAGGCCGCAACUGACACUGAGGGACGAAAGCUAGGGGAGCGAAUGGG